rnacentral:rRNA from 1 species
GAUCCUGGCUCAGGAUGAACGCUAGCUACAGGCUUAACACAUGCAAGUCGAGGGGCAUCGGGAUUGAAGCUUGCUUCAAUUGCCGGCGACCGGCGCACGGGUGCGUAACGCGUAUGUAACCUACCUAUAACAGGGGCAUAACACUGAGAAAUUGGUACUAAUUCCCCAUAAUAUUCGGAGAGGCAUCUCUCCGGGUUGAAAACUCCGGUGGUUAUAGAUGGACAUGCGUUGUAUUAGCUAGUUGG